rnacentral:rRNA from 1 species
AUUGUAGUCAUAUGCUUGUCUCAAAGAUUAAGCCAUGCAUGUCUAAGUAUAAGCAAUUAUACCGCGAAACUGCGAAUGGCUCAUUAAAUCAGUUAUCGUUUAUUUGAUAGUACCUUACUACAUGGAUAACCGUGGUAAUUCUAGAGCUAAUACAUGCUAAAAAUCCCGACUUCGGAAGGGAUGUAUUUAUUAGAUUAAAAACCAAUGCCCUUCGGGGCUCCUUGGUGAUUCAUAAUAACUUCUCGAAUCGCACGGCCUUGCGCCGGCGAUGGUUCAUUCAAAUUUCUGCCCUAUCAACUUUCGACGGCUGGGUCUUGGCCAGCCAUGGUGACAACGGGUAACGGAGGGUUAGGGCUCGACCCCGGAGAAGGAGCCUGAGAAACGGCUACUACAUCCAAGGAAGGCAGCAGGCGCGCAAAUUACCCAAUCCCGACUCGGGGAGGUAGUGACAAUAAAUACUGAUACAGGGCUCUUUUGGGUCUUGUAAUUGGAAUGAGUACAAUUUAAAUCCCUUAACGAGGAACAAUUGGAGGGCAAGUCUGGUGCCAGCAGCCAAUC